CGGUGUAGCUCAGUGGUAGAGCAGCUGUUUCGUAAACAGCAGGUCGCGGGUUCAAUUCCCAUCACCG
rnacentral:tRNA from 1 species